GACGAACGCUGGCGGCGUGCCUAAUACAUGCAAGUUGAGCGCUGAAGGUUGGUACUUGUACCAACUGGAUGAGCAGCGAACGGGUGAGUAACGCGUGGGGAAUCUGCCUUUGGGCGGGGGACAACAUUUGGAAACGAAUGCUAAUACCGCAUAAAAACUUUAAACACAAGUUUUAAGUUUGAAAGAUGCAAUUGCAUCACUCAAAGAUGAUCCCGCGUUGUAUUAGCUAGUUGGUGAGGUAAAGGCUCACCAAGGCGAUGAUACAUAGCCGACCUGAGAGGGUGAUCGGCCACAUUGGGACUGAGACACGGCCCAAACUCCUACGGGAGGCAGCAGUAGGGAAUCUUCGGCAAUGGACGAAAGUCUGACCGAGCAACGCCGCGUGAGUGAAGAAGGUUUUCGGAUCGUAAAACUCUGUUGGUAGAGAGGAACGUUGGUGAGAGUGGAAAGCUCAUCAAGUGACGGUAACUACCCAGAAAGGGACGGCUAACUACGUG
rnacentral:rRNA from 1 species